rnacentral:lncRNA from 1 species
CCUGAUCCUUGGACUGGGCUGGGCAGGGAGGUAACACAGCUCAGAGCAGCCAAUCUGCUACCAAACACUCACCUGCUGCAUGGCAGGAAACAGGUCCUACCUUCAAUCUAUACACUGUAAAAUCAAGGUAAAUAGACUAAACCAGUUUCAAUAUGUUCCAAUGGGUAAUUGUGUGAUUUCCACAUAAAAGCACUACAGUUUCUCUCUGAAUCAACCUCUCUGGUGCUGCAAUGUUUUUAACCCUUUCCAAUGCACUGGAGGGCUAGGAAAUGUUGGUCUGCAGUGCCAUUAAGGCCAUACUACCAUAGAUAUCUAUAUUUAGCGCUCAUCAAAAACAAAGAGCUCAUUAAAAGGUUUUUAAUUAAGUUAGAAAUCUAUUAGAAUUUCCAAGUAAAUCCUUGAUUAGAUAUUGUCUUCCUUUGUCUUUAUUACUCUCAAAGAUGACCAAUAUUCUGUCUAGAGCACUUCAGUCCCAGGAGGAAUGUUCCCACACCUCUUGCUUGUAUCAGCACAUGGCACAUAUUGGAAAGCUGAAUAUCCACGUAAAUGUGUGAGGAGGGCAAGGUUUGAUCCCUGGCUCAUUAGGAAGGGAUUGGAUUGCACACACCUGAAAUAG